rnacentral:lncRNA from 1 species
AGGCACGCUAAUGAUAAAAUUACCAUUUACCUUUUACCUCACCAGCCUCAGCACCUGACAUUAUAAAUGUAGGUAACCUUUCACCUGAAGGCCUUCUUUCUUCUGCAGUGCUAGGGAUUAUGAAGAAAUGAAUGUGCUCACAUCUGCAGAAGAGGCAUAAGUCAUGGAAAAAAGGCAAAACCAUUCAAGCAGUGGUAACGGGUACCCGACGAGAGCUCUGGAGGUAUCAGUGUGACUCUGAAGACUGCCCAAGGACUACUGAUCUCCCACCCACCUAUGAUGUGCCUGAUUGCUCACAAGUAAACACUUAGACAAUAGGAUGUACUAUGAAGCUUAACAAGAAUGGGGAAAACCAUGUAUUUCAGAGUGAAAUACACUGAAUACUCUGAGCAUUUAAGGAAGCCAGAGGAAUUUGAGAAUGUAAAGCUAUCUGCUGGCUGAAGACAUGAAGAAAUGUGUUGAACUAGUUCUGUGGUGCUCAAUAUCUUGCAAGAUAUUUCAAAGCAAGAAGAAAUAGGAGUACUCAAAAAAAAUCCCAACAACAACCCCCACCCCUGCAAAAAAAAAAAAAAAAAAAAAAAAUCUAAUAAGAAAAAUACUUCCUGCAGACCUGGAGGGAGAAGAAAAUUGUACCAGAUACACCACAUUCCUGAGUACAAGGAGGAUCUCGUUUCAUGGCAAGAACAAGGUCAGAUCUGAAGACCUUCUAUGUUAUCACUACCUGCUCCACUAAAACCUAUUAAGUCCAUCAGGAAACAUAUUUUGCAGAUUGUCUGGAAAACUAAGAUAAUAGGAC